GUGUAGCRGUGAAAUGCGUAGAUAUUGGGAAGAACACCGGUGGCGCAGGCGACUCGCUGGGCUGWACUGACGCUGAGGAACGAAAGCUGGGGAGCAAAUGGGAUUAGAUACCYGGUAGUCCUAGCUGUAAACGAUGGAUACUAGGCGUAGCAGGUAUCGACCCCUGCUGUGCCGYARCUAACGCGAUAAGUAUCCCGCCU
rnacentral:rRNA from 1 species